ACAGCAGCAGCCGCGGUAAUACGUAGGGUGCAAGCGUUAAUCGGAAUUACUGGGCGUAAAGCGUGCGCAGGCGGUUAUAUAAGACAGAUGUGAAAUCCCCGGGCUCAACCUGGGAACUGCAUUUGUGACUGUAUAGCUAGAGUACGGCAGAGGGGGAUGGAAUUCCGCGUGUAGCAGUGAAAUGCGUAGAUAUGCGGAGGAACACCGAUGGCGAAGGCAAUCCCCUGGGCCUGUACUGACGCUCAUGCACGAAAGCGUGGGGAGCAAACAGGAUUAGAUACCCCAGUAGUCCCUGUCUCUUAUAC
rnacentral:rRNA from 1 species